UCCAUGGAACACAAACUGGGUCUGGCCUU
rnacentral:piRNA from 1 species